GUUCUCUGUCUGCAGCCAGAUUGUGAAUUAAAAACAUCUCACUCAGUGCUGUUGGACCUGAGGCUGUGUACAUACAUUUGAUGAGAAAGUCUUUCUGGCAUGAAGGGGCAUGGCCAAGGAGGCAGGCUUAUGGUGCAGAAUUCAACAACACAUUUAUUGGUACCUGGAGAGAGUCCCUGUAACUCUUUAGCAAAGUGACAUCAAUCCCAGCCAGCUGCCACUCAUGCACACCAGAGAAUUUCUAUUACCCAAUGCUAUACUGGUGGAGAAGAAAGGGAUUUCCAGAUAACCACAUUGU